UCUGAUUCUCUGUUCGUUGGAUCUCUCUUCUCUUCCUUCUGAUUUUGUCGUUCUUCUCUCGUUCAUCUCUCGUUCUUUUCACAAUAUAAUCUCGAUCUUCUCUUCCUUCUGAAUCAAGUUGAUUUGUUGUGUUGAUAUUCGAAAUUCAAUGAGAUUUGUGGUUCCUCGCUAUUGUUGUUGUUGUUCAUCGUCUAGGGUUUGCGAUUUUGUUAUGUUAAGAAGAUUUUGGAUCUAAAUCUAUGGUUGGUUAGUUUAUUAAUUAGGGUUUUUGUUGAACCUUUCAUCUUCUUCCUCUGGUUGAGAUCUAGAAUUCCUCUUUCAGACGGUCACCUCCGACUGCUCAGCGGCGCCUAACGGCCUCAACCCACUUCUCCGGCAGUGGCAACUUCAUUGCGGCAACAAACUCACGUAAGAAGCCGCUGGUUAUACAACGAUAAAUAAAAAAUAUCACCCCUUUGAGUGAAUGGGCAGCGUAUAAUUUUCUUCACCCUAAUUUAAUUUCUGCUUCUGAUUUGUUGAGUUCUCUUGUUGCUUGAUUUUUUGAGUUUUACGUGAGUUUUAUUACUACAAUAAGAUCAUGUUUUGUCCGGAUUAUAUUGUGAUGAGAUCAUGUUGAUUUACUCCCUAUUCUAUGAUUGUGAUAUGUUGCUGGCGGGCUGGAUUAUUGUUGUUGUUCUGAUUUAUUGUUGACUGAGAUGGAGGAUUGUGUGUUGCUUGUUGAUAUAUGGUUGCCAGCAACUGUGAUCUGUUGCUGGCCAGGGGAUGUAUGAUUGUGAUAUGUUGUUGUUGCUAUUGAUGUUGGUGUGUAUGUGAUAUGUGCCUGAGUUUCUUGGAUUAUAUCCCUUUUUAAUGCCCCUUGAUUAAUGUUCUUUGGAAUAUGUCCCUUAAUUAUGUCCAUUGUUUAAUGUUGCUUGGCAUAUGUUCCUUGAUUAUGUCCCUUGAUUAGUGUUGCUUGGAAUAUACUCCUUGAAUAUGUCCCUUUUUAACUGACCCCAAUAUAACAAACCAAUGCUUGUCCUUGUUUCACCCCAAUGUCUGUCCAUAUGUCUGUCCCUAUUUUACCCCAUUGACUAUCGAUAUGUCUGUCCCUGUUGUCAAUGAUGAAACAUUUGCUUGAGAGAGCCCAACUUCUAGUGAAGUGAUGAAUAAUAUUUGCCAUUGACCUCCCAUGAACCAUUUAUGUUCUAGGAUUGUAGUCUUUAGGCAGAAUUGGUAGUCAUGGAAGAAGGUGGGUUGUCAGUGAUAGUUAUGGGGGAACUGAGACUCUUAAAUGGCCUCCCUUUUAUUUUUCUCCUAUCCAUAUGUCUAUGAUGAAAGUCCAAUAUAUGAGAUAGUACACCCAUAUGAUAAUCAUCACCUAUUUGCCAUUAGAUUCCAAUUAAUACAUUUUAUGUUUGAUUUGUUGAGACUUUUGGGAAGAUUUGUGAACUGAUUUAUGGGUUUAUUAUUCAUGAUGCAUAGGGACAUCUGAGACAUAUUGUUUAUCAAUUUUAAAUCUAACAUGUUUGAAACAGUUGUGAAAAUCAAGAGGUUGAUAAAGUAAGCUAUAGAGUAUAGAGGAUACCCUGACUCUUGUGUGAGGCCUUGCAUAAUUGGCAUCCGUGUCGGGUUUUUGACACUCGGGGAUGGGUGACACUGAUUGUUUUUACAAAACAGCCGAGUCGGACUUGGGACAUGAAUUUGUGAUUAUAUUUAAUUGAAGCUACAUAUUUAAAACUUAGGGUUUUUCUAAUUGUAUGCUUUAAUUGACUAGUUUAUGAUAUUGUGGAAUUCAACCAGGUUGAUUAUGCUUUUGCUUCCGUUUUAUUGUUUGGUUGGCCUGAGUGAGUUUUUGUCUAGCUCUGCUGUUUUGGAGCCCUAUCAGAUUCGUCUCCCCCCACCACCAAUUUUAGCGGUCUUGAUUUGUGAGAUAAAUAUGAUUUAAAUUAAUGUGAUUAACCCCUAUACUUUGUGUAUGGAAAUAUUUAGGCCAAAUUAUUUUUAGAAUGACAAAAAACUUGGAUCAUAUAGAUAUAUAUAUUAUCUCUUAUUCUUCUUUGUUCUGUAACCUAUUAUAAUGAGCAAGGAGUAGCUAGGUUACACUGAACUAGUGAUUGAAAGCUGGUGUGCUUUAGAGUGGUUAAGGAAUCCCUCUACGGCUCAAUUUCCUCGCCAAAUUACACUUAACUUAAGCUAUAUAAAUAUUUAUAACUCCAGAAAUAUGAAUUUAUUUCCUUCUUCUUGUAAAAGUAGUCAGAAAUUAAGGAACAAGGCUUGCUUUCGUUGUAUGGUGGCUUGUACAUUAUUACCCGCUCGUAUUUCUUACAUUAUUACCAUAUGUCUUUGCUAAGGAGUACAAUGUCCAUCCCGAUAUCCUCAGCACAGCGUACUAAUUCUCUCCCUCCUAUCCUCAAAUCAUAAGCAUGUGUGAUCAUGUUACAUUUUUUGGCCUAAAUCAACAUAUAGUUGUCAUAUUCAUGGUAGCAGCAUGAGCUCUCUUUUAUAUUGCUUAAUUUCUUAUUUUGCCUUUGACCUUAUGUUGUGUUGAAAUAAGGGCUUUCCAGUUGAUUAAAAUUUGAUAUUCAUAAAAGGGCCAAUGAGGUCAAAUAAGGGUCAAUGGGUUUUAAUGAGUUCAGGCUUCAAAAGAGAAAUUCAAGUGAAAAUUAAAUAUGAUAAUGUAUUUAUAUUGUUUUGUGCCUUAAAUUUGGGUUGCUUGGGUGUUUGUUAAGUUAUCAUAGUUUCAAACAUAUUAAUCUAGGCUGGCAUUGUUUAAAUUUCUGCAUCAUUGUAUGAGUUACACGAAAUGACUGACUAGAAGCCUUUGUUGUCCAAUUAUAUGCUGUAUCAUGAUUGCAUAACUACAUGAAAAUAUGAUAACUUUAUUGUUAAUCAACAAGAAGAAUGUAUAUAGUCUGCAUUAAGGUAUUCUGGGAGUUCUGUUUUCGACCCACCAUCAUUUAUACCAAACAAAAAACUGUUUUCUCUCUUCGUUGAUUUAUGUUUGUCCUAGUUGCUUUUUGCAUAGUUUAAAUGCAACAUUGUAAUUUAAAUAUCUUUCAAAGUUCUUAGCUUGUGACUGAUACUCCUUCAAUUAUGAUGCUGAAACAUUGCACAAGUUCAUAAUAAAGGAACCUUGCUAAAUUUUUAUAUAUUUCCCAUUGAAUCAAAUUUCUCUGUCUGAGGGCAAAGCUGCAGAAAACCUUGAGACAGAAAAGCUACUGAAAUUUAAAUAAGUUGAUUUAACUUCUCAGGAUCCCAAAUUUUUUUCAAAUAGUUCUCAACUCUCACAGUCUGUUAUCUACUUUUUUUUUGCAUUAAUGACCUAGUCUCAUUGAUGUAAUGUAUACUUUAUCUAAAGGAAAAAAGGCAGACUGUUGGUUUGAAGGAUUUUCUUGCAAUUUCUGUGUACACUUUUCACUCAAAUUUCUGUGUGCAUACAAACUUAUGCAUUAGGAAUUGUUGUUAUGUCUUAGUUUGAUAAACCCCCCCAACCCUUUUCUCUAUUUUCUACAAGCAAAAACCAUGUUAUUAAUGUCUUGUCCUCCCCAUAUACAAUAUAUGUGUGUGUGUGUGUGUGUCUAUGUGUGUGUGUGUGUGUGUGUGUGUGUGUGUGUUUAGCAGCUUUAACAGGUAAAACAGCAGCAACAGCCAGCACCAGGCAGGCACAGCACCACCAGACAACAGCUAACAGCCAGCAGAUAGCCAACAGGCUUUGCAAAA